rnacentral:rRNA from 1 species
UACGGGGGGGGCAAGCGUUGUUCGGAAUUACUGGGCGUAAAGGGUUUGUAGGUGGCUUGUUAAGUCAGACGUGAAAUCCCUCAGCUUAACUGGGGAACUGCGUCUGAGACUGGUGAGCUUGAGUGCAGGAGAGGAACGCGGAAUUCCAGGUGUAGCGGUGAAAUGCGUAGAUAUCAGGAGGAACACCGGUGGCGAAGGCGGGUCUCUGGGCAGUAACUGACGCUGAGGAGCGAAAGCGUGGGGAGCGAACAGG